UACGGAGGGGGCUAGCGUUGUUCGGAAUUACUGGGCGUAAAGCGCACGUAGGCGGCUUUGCAAGUUAGAGGUGAAAGCCCGGGGCUCAACUCCGGAAUUGCCUUUAAAACUGCAUCGCUAGAAUUGUGGAGAGGUAAGUGGAAUUCCGAGUGUAGAGGUGAAAUUCGUAGAUAUUCGGAAGAACACCAGUGGCGAAGGCGACUUACUGGACACAUAUUGACGCUG
rnacentral:rRNA from 1 species